GAGGAAAGAGAGAAAAAUGGAGUGAGAGAUGGUGAAAACACAAGAGAUGGAGAGACAGAAGAAGGGUGGUGAAGCGAGGGGUGGGAGGCGGACAGGAUGAAGGGAAGGUGAGUGAACGAUAAUAGCACCACAGCUUUACAGCUAACGGAAAAAUGGAAUACAUCGGAAAGUGUGAUCUCUCAGUUUGAUAACAAAUCUUUCAGUUUGCCACAGAGAGCAAUUUGAUAACAAUCAACUGAUUUGUUUUUAUGAUAGAAGGGUAAAUGGAGAAGGUUUCAGCCAUGAUUAACUCAAAAUGUAAGGUAUAUUUCUCUCCACAGAAACAGUCAGAUCUACUGAGUUUAGUUCAUUUUUUUAUUUCGGAUUUCCAGCAUCUGCUGUAUUUUGCUUCUGAAGUUUUUGAAUGUUACUUGAAAAACAAUGGUCUGGAAAUAAUUCCCCAGCUCUUCAAAUAGUGUAUAGGAUCUUUUAUGAGAGGGCAACGGUGGGCGUCGGUUUUAAAGUUUCAUUGGAAAGUCGAUGGUGCAACACUCCUGCAGUACUUCAGUAGAGUGUCAGCCAGGAUUUCUGCCAAGUCUGCAAUGAGACGUGAAUUCUAACUCCGAGGUGAGAGAGCAACUAACUGAACCCCAACUGAUGGAGAUUGGCAUGAUGGAAUGGAAGGGCGGAAUAAGCGAGUGCAAUGAGUGUUUGGGGAGAACAAACAACGAGAUGUGGCAAGACGAUUUGGUUGUGAAUGGAUCCAGUGUUCUGUCACUCGGCAGCCUGUGGGCUUGUUUAAUUGGUAGUGGUGGUUGAUACCUUUGUUUCUGUCUCACUUAAAAACUGGAGAAUUGCAGCAAGAGUAACCGGAUGCCACAUCCCUGUUAUUAAUCAAAAGUCAAAAAUCUGCAUAGUGUCUGCUAAUCAGCCUAGAAAAGGUACAAAUAUUGCCUGUGGAAGUGAGGUUUUUGUUUGGGACCUGGAUGCGCUGGUUAUAACAGUAAAUGAUCGGAUCAUGCGGAUUGCAAGUGACAGUGAGAGGUGUCAGCAUUAAGUUGCAGGAGCCGCCUCUCUUUCAUACAGAUGAUCGAUAUUUCACACAUGGAACAAUGAAACAAGUGAGGACAAAGCUCGUGUAAUUUCACUGUGUGAGUGUACACAGUACAAAGUUCCAAUUGCUGAAAACGCUAUAUUCGAGUCCAGAAGCCAGUGAAGCCACUGCCCUGACACUGGAUUUCUUUUCAAAGAACUGAAAUGUACUUUGAUGUCUGAUCAUUGGGAUCGUUUAACGUCUCGUUUCUCAACUGAUGUUUCAAGCAUGUCGUGAAGGUGUAUCCUGAAAGGAGCAACAACUGGGCAUGCCACUUACGGAGCUGGGUGCAAGGGACAACAUUGCAUGUGGUCAAAGCUUCAUCUUUAUCCUUGUGCAAUGUGCUCCUGGAUGCAGGCUGAUGGAUAGCAGAGUGAAGCAACAGGGUUGCAUAAAAGGAAGAUUUUACUGUGUGCAUCCACAGUUGCAGAUGAACUGGCACCAUGCAGUGUACUAAAUGAGAUUCGGCAAGCAACAAGUAGUUGAUCGGUCUCUGGAGUGAUGAACAGUUGUCGAUGACACAGACCUUCUGCCUGCCAACAACUAUGUGAUUGAUUCCCAGGUAGCUGAUCAGAUUCUAGGUGUAAACAAAAUGGCAAGAAGCCUUCGGACCAACAUCCCCUUUAGGCUGCAUAGCUGCACAUACAUGCAACUGCUCCAAGGUGCCAUGCACAGUGACAGGCUUUGGCAUGCCGAUCAUUGUACUGACUUUCAAUUCUAGAAACUGCUGACACGCAUGAGCCUCAGAGCUCCACACAACUAGAAAGAAGAUUAAAGGAAACUCUGCUUGAGACCUCCAAAAGGAUAACCAGUACACUUAUAUAAAGCACAAUAAAUGGAAGGGUUGUGAAGAACCCAAAACUUCAGAAGGAUUUAAGUGACCCUUGAUUUCUGAGCAGAGUUAACUUGUGGCUCCAAAUUUGGCUGAAGGUAAUAAAAAUUUUUUUGUAUUGGAUUCUGCUGCAGCACAACUUUGAGUCAAGAGUUCCAGUAAUUACAAUGGCCCACAAACUUCCCACUGAAAAUUCCCAAGUCCAUUACCAGGAUAUAGCUAUGAGUGGAUGUAUAUAAUGUCUUCAUUAAUAUAAAGACCUAUUUAACACCUUCUUAGGCCUCAGGAGUAUCAAAACUUUUCACAUAAUUUACCUUAAAAAUAUAAUUUUGUUGGUCAGGCAGACAUACCAAACAAGUUGCAUGCAAGAAGAUCCCAGAAAUAGCAAUGAACUUAAUAGCUUUUGAAUCUGUUUUUUGUCAUUUGUUUUUAGGGAAGUAAAUUGGUCCACUCUUCGAAUAGUGCAAUGGAUCUUGAUUGCCUACCCAGAUAGGCAGACAAGACUUUGGUUUAAUGUCUCUUCUAAAGGUCAAGAAAUUAAACUGUGAUCCUACCUUACUGUUCAAUUAACAGGUUACAAAAGUGCCCAAUUUUACAAAUUGAAACCUUGCCAGUUUGUACUGGAGAUGAGGUGGAAAUGUUCCCAUUUGUUCUAGCACCAGUGUUAACAGCUGAACUUUCUAACACAAAGCCAUGUUGUUGAUUAUUUUUUGGGCCAGUGAUAGGAUAUUUUUUCAUGAAAAUAUUGCUGUUAAGACUUGCCCAUUGUGUGAACAAUAACAAAUCUCUGUGCCUGCUAGCUCGAAUUACAAUUCAAACAUUCUUCGUCAUGGUACACUUUUAACAGCAGUGACAGUAAAGAAAGUGCAAAUUUAAAUAUUCUUCCCAGUUAACAAAUAUAAAUGUAUACCUGAGUGGCAAUUGUCUAACCAAACACUUUUUAACAAGUAUCAAAUGGUCCAAAAGUAUCAAAAAUGCCUUCACUGUCAAUUUCCCCUUAAAAAGUUUUUGAUAGUUCCUCCUAAAUUUUGUGAUCAGCUGAAAGUUUAGUCAGAAGGUUGCAGCCAUGCCUUUGGUCUGCUGGCCAUGCAAUUAUUUCUGGUGUUAGUCACUUUUUACGAUAUGAAUGAACUCCUUUACUGAGUCUGAAGUCAGAAAUCAGGAUUUAAAGGCUUGCAGCAGCUUAAAGGGCAGACAUGGUUUGGAUAUUGACCAGCUUCUUCAGAGAAACGAGGAAGGGAGGUUCAUAUACUUGGUCAGGUAGAGCACAAUAUGGGGGGGGCGGGGUGAGUUAGAAAGGAGCAGGAUAAUUACCUUCUGCCUGCAAUUUCAAUUGGAGAACAACACCAAAAUAUAUAGUUAGAACAUGAUGAAAUUGAGAAUUUGAUUGUCAUAUAUCCAUAGGUCUGAGUGGAAAACUGACUACAAGUUUGAUGAUAGGCCGAAGCCAGGUGGAGAAUCAAUUUAUUACUACUAAUUGGCUUUUUUUUUCUCCAUCCCUCAAAUGAAGUAUACGCUCCUUCUCUAUAUGUUUGGACUCUCCCCUUCUUUCCAAAAAAGUUGACCGCCCCAGAACACUCCUUUACUUGGGACCAGGCAACAACCCCUGAAGCAAAAUCAGAAAUUGCUGGAGAAACUCAUCAGGUCUGGCAGCAUCUGAGGAGAGAAAGCAGAGUUAAUGGUUCAGGUCAAGUGAGCAUUCUUCAGAACUAGAUAGUAGCUAGGAAAAGGUGGAAUAUGUGCUAAAGACAUGAUGGGCGUGAGACACAGUAAACAAUAGGUGGAAACAGAGCCGAGACGGAAAGAAAGACAGGCAAAUGAAGACUAGAUAAUAGUAAGCCAGAGAGAGACAAAAAAACUGAUACUGACAAGACCUGGAGUGUGGGUGUAGAAAAAGGACGAAAGGUUGCUAACGCCCUAAAAUUAUUAUUCAAUUUUGAGUCCUGAAAGCUGCAAGGUCCCCAAGUGAAAAAUGAGGUGCUGUUUUUCCAGCGUGUGCUAAGUUUCACUGGAGCACUGCAGCAGACCCACUACAGAGAUGCUGCCCAGGGAACACAAUGGGGUGUUGAAGUAACGUAGGUGUUCUGCCAAGUGGCCACACGGUCUGCAUUUCAUCUCCUCUGUGUAGAUGAGACCACACUGUGAGCAGUGAACACCAUAGACUCGAUUAAGUAAAGUGCACGUAAUCACUGCUUCCCCUCAAAGGUUUGUCUGGAGCCUUUGAUAGUGAGGAGGGAGGAAAUAAAUGGGCAGGUAUUACACAUUCUGUGAUUUUAUUUUAUUAACAUCUAUGACAGCACUGAUUUUGAGGGAUGGGUAACUGUUUUCUGAGAUUUCCUGGACAAUUUUGAUUUUGAAAGUGGCCAAAGGCUUGUUAAUGAGUUCCAGAUAUCAAUGGAAGCUGGACUUCCUGCUGUUGCUCCUUGAUGAGCUAUCUGUUUACAUGGCUGUUCUUCAGCCUGGGGUUUGUAAGCAAGGACAGUUGCAUAUGUCUUGAAAGGGGCCUCUGAAAUGGGAUCUCAGUGCAAAAAAAUUUUUGAAGCACUGACUUAGGGCCCCAGUCUGCAAGCCAGGAUCAUUUGAAAAUCUCAUUGUUCAGCAACACUCCCCAGGACCUUACUCUGUAAAAGCAAUUCCUGGACAAUUACUGCAAAAGGUUUUGAUAACAAGCAUAAUGGGGUAAAAAUAUGAGAAACUUGGUGAAACUGCACAGUCCUCUCAUACUGCUGUUAGUUGCCAAUAUGAAGGAGAUUUAAUCACUUGCUUGAGCAAACAAAGCAAUUAUUCACUUGCUUUGAAUAACUAUAUUCACCUGUUUACCUUAUGUUACAGACGUUUCCAGUGGUAACAGGUAAUCAAUUUGCAGCAUAAAGGCUAAGGGCCACUGUUACCUUGACAGUAAGUGCCUAUGUAAGUGUUUGACUGCAGGAAGAAAACAUCCUCCUAUAGGGCAGUAAGAUGCAGGACAAGUGGAGGGCUGCUCGACGUUCAGCUCCUCACCCCUUAUGUGGGUCGCACAUAGCAGUGUCUUGGAGAUUGAUCGUCAAUUCCUGGAAACUCCAGGCCAACUCUAUGAGUUGACAACCCUGAUACUACCUUUUCUCCUCCCUACUAUAUGACCACCUUUACCUCUCAUUUCAAUGUCUGAUUCAUCCUUAAUUCCCCUUCCUCCAGCUAUUUAUCUUACCUUUCACUUCAGCUAUUCCCUGACAUUCAUUAGUGAACUGCCUGGAGGUGUCCAGAAUAUGCCCACAGGUCAUUUAAAUUUGAUAUGAAUUCUAAUAUUGCAAGCUCCUCAAUUCUACUUCUAAGUGCAAGGAUUGCUCUUUCUACCCAUAGGUCAGUUGAAAUAAAGUUGUAAGCUAUAGCCUCGUAAUUUCAUCUGAAUGAAUGGGAUCCACAGAUUACUCACUUGAGAAUAGUACCUCUUUAGAUCUAACCAGAAAAACAUGGAGGAAGUAAGUGCACAUGUUGUAAGGGUGCCCCUGGUUAUAGACUGUUGCAUCACAUGGAGCUUACCAUUGUAUCAUGGUCAUGGCCUGCAACCCAGUGAUCUAUGCACAUAUAGUUGCAAUUCUGGUUUAAGAGGUCAGCCAAGUGGACCUCACAGAAUAUGUGUUCUCUGAUUGUGGCUGUUAACCUGGUCCAAUCAGGCAGCCCAG